AUCAAUGGUGGCUUAUACAGUAUAUCAUAUACCUGAGCGCAAUGAAAAAUCAGUCAAUUAUACCCCGGGAUAAAAGUUUAUCAAUAAUAUGGUCUUCGGACUGGGAAUCGGAUCCACUGAUCAUUGAUUUUGUUAACAAUAAUAAUACUAUUGAAUGCCAAUCGACCGCAACUACAACAUAAACAAUUGAUUAAACAACAACAACAGCUAACUUAUAUCUAUCUAUUGAAAUGUUAUCUAUCGAUGAAAUAUAAGUCACAAUUGCUAUCC